GGUUUUAUAGUUUAAGUGAAAAUAUUAAAUUGCAAAUUUAAUGAUAUGGUAAUUCGUUAAAACUU
rnacentral:tRNA from 1 species